UUGACUGAGGUAAACAAUGCAAUUGUAUAUACAAUUAUUGCAUACUGUAGUCUUUCAAAUUUGUGAUUGAAUUAGUGUUGUUUGUCUAUUGCUAUUUUUGUAUAACGUACUUUCAGAUCACUGAAACCCCACCUGAUGUGGUGGAUGUUGUCGAACCAGAUCAGGAUGCCUUCGAGGACCAACUUCAUGCACAGACUGAGAAGGAUGUGGAGUUUUUUGACCAGGAAAAAAAUAUUGCCCGCUGUUAAUUUAUUUUCUGGCCCUCCAAGAGAUAUGUAAGAAAUAUAUUUGUAAUAUGAAAUAUAAUUGCAUAUAUUCCUGUUACCAAUCAAGGUGAGACUGAACAUCGACAAGGUGCAGGUGAAACAGAAGGAGAGCUACCGGAGAAGAAUCAAGAAGGGGAUCAAGUGCUUCAACAUCCGGGCAAAUUACUUGGUUUGGAAGAAGGACCAAAGGAAGGCGAGACCUGGGAAACCUCGCAGCUAUUUCACUCCUAUCUGGGGACACCAUCUGUUAAGUGUUACCUCGGUGGAAGCCAACAAUCUUCUCCAGUUGGAGCAUUUGGACGGUCGACCACUGAAAGCCCUGACGCCCUACAAUUCGGUGAAUCCCAAUAGACAAAGAGGUAUCCCAUCCACCAGAGCCAGUAGGUUUGGAUCAGUCUGAUUCUCUGAGUCAGAGGGGGACC